AACGCACAUUGCACCUUUUGGUAUUCCAUGAGGUAUACAUGUUCGAGCGUCGUUGCAAAUAUAAGACCUUGUCUUGCGUUGACGCGUUCGGGUGAAGCCGAAGCGUUGAAAAGGAUUGGCGCACGUGUCUCGUGACGAACCCAAUGACCUGGGACAGUCGAGAGAAACGGGCCGCAGACUCCCAAGUCUAAACCUUAAUCAAACGUUCGACCUCGAAUCAUGUAGGAUUACCCGCUGAACUUAA
rnacentral:misc_RNA from 1 species